UACGUAGGGUGCGAGCGUUAAUCGGAAUUACUGGGCGUAAAGCGCGCGCAGGUGGACGAGUAUGUGCCGUGUGAAGGCGCCGUCCUUACGAUGGUGAGGUCAUGGUAGACAGCUUGUCUCGAGGCUCGAAGAGGUCGAUGGAAUUCCGGGUGGAGCGGUGAAAUGCGUAGAGAUCCGGAGGAACACCAGGGGCGAAAGCGGUCGACUGGUCGAGUACUGACACUGAGGCGCGACGGCGUGGGGAGCAAACCGG
rnacentral:rRNA from 1 species